AUUGAACGCUGGCGGCAUGCCUUACACAUGCAAGUCGAACGGCAGCACGGGGCGACCUGGUGGCGAGUGGCGAACGGGUGAGUAAUGCAUCGGAACGUACCUUUCAGUGGGGGAUAACGUAGCGAAAGUUACGCUAAUACCGCAUAUUCUGUGAGCAGGAAAGCAGGGGAUCGCAAGACCUUGCGCUGAUUGAGCGGCCGAUGUCAGAUUAGCUAGUUGGUGAGGUAAAGGCUCACCAAGGCGACGAUCUGUAGCGGGUCUGAGAGGAUGAUCGGCCACACUGGAACUGAGACACGGUCCAGACUCCUACGGGAGGCAGCAGUGGGGAAUUUUGGACAAUGGGGGCAACCCUGAUCCAGCCAUGCCGCGUGAGUGAAGAAGGCCUUCGGGUUGUAAAGCUCUUUCGGCCGGGAAGAAAUCGCACGGGCUAAUACCCUGUGUGGAUGACGGUACCGGAAUAAGAAGCACCGGCUAACUACGUGCCAGCCGCCGCAGUAAGAC
rnacentral:rRNA from 1 species